rnacentral:rRNA from 1 species
UUCAGAGGUGGCGAGCGUUGUUCGGAUUUACUGGGCGUAAAGGGUGUGUAGGUGGUUCUGCAUGUCGGAUGUGAAAUCCCACGGCUCAACUGUGGAAUUGCAUCCGAAACUGCAGUUCUAGAGUGCAGGAGAGGAGAGCGGAAUUCUCGGUGUAGCGGUGAAAUGUGUUGAUAUCGAGAGGAACACCGGUGGCGAAGGCGGCUCUCUGGAAUGUUACUGACACUGAGACACGAAAGCUGGGGGAGCAAAC